CCUACGGGAGGCAGCAGUGGGGAAUAUUGGACAAUGGGCGAAAGCCUGAUCCAGCCAUGCCGCGUGUGUGAAGAAGGCCUUCGGGUUGUAAAGCACUUUCAGUGGGGAAGAAAGCCUUGGGGCUAAUACCCUCGAGGAAGGACAUCACCCACAGAAGAAGCACCGGCUAACUCCGUGCCAGCAGCCGCGGUAAUACGGAGGGUGCGAGCGUUAAUCGGAAUUACUGGGCGUAAAGCGCGCGUAGGCGGUCUGAUAAGCCGGUUGUGAAAGCCCCGGGCUCAACCUGGGAACGGCAUCCGGAACUGUCCGGCUAGAGUGCAGGAGAGGAAGGUAGAAUCCCCGGUGUAGCGGUGAAAGGCGUAGAGCUCGGGAGGAAUACCAGUGGCGAAGGCGGCCUUCUGGACUGACACUGACGCUGAGGUGCGAAAGCGUGGGUAGCAAACAGGAUUAGAUACCCCAGUAGUC
rnacentral:rRNA from 1 species